rnacentral:rRNA from 1 species
CCCUUAGAUGUUCUGGGCCGCACGCGUGCUACACUGAGUGGAUCAGCGGGUCAGGUUGCGCGAAAGCGUUUCCUAAUCUUUAAAUCCACUCGUGAUGGGGAUUGACGGUUGCAAUUUUCUGUCAUGAACGAGGAAUACCUUGUAAGCGCGGGUCAUCAUCCCGCGCUGAAUACGUCCCUGCCCUUUGUACACACCGCCCGUCGCUACUACCGAUUGAACGGUUUAGUGAGGGCCUCGGAUUGGUCUCGGCCCGCUCUUUACCGGGCGGCGCCGUUGGUCGAGAAGACGCUCGAACUUGAUCGUUUAGAGGAAGUAAAAGUCGUAACA